UAAUAAUGCAGCCACCCUGUCCAACACAUC
rnacentral:sRNA from 1 species